CGAGCGAGAAAGCCCCUCGGGGUGAGUAGAGCGGCGGACGGGUGAGUAACGCGUAGGAAUCUACCCAGUAGUGGGGGACAACUAGUGGAAACGCUAGCUAAUACCGCAUACGCCCUACGGGGGAAAGCGGGGGACCUUCGGGCCUCGUGCUAUUGGAUGAGCCUGCGUAAGAUUAGCUUGUUGGUGAGGUAAUGGCUCACCAAGGCGACGAUCUUUAGCUGGUCUGAGAGGAUGAUCAGCCACACCGGGACUGAGACACGGCCCGGACUCCUACGGGAGGCAGCAGUCGGGAAUAUUGCGCAAUGGGGGAAACCCUGACGCAGCCAUGCCGCGUGUGUGAAGAAGGCCCUAGGGUUGUAAAGCACUUUCAAUUGGGAGGAAAAGCUAAUAGUGAAUAACUAUUAGCCCUGACGUUACCUUUAGAAGAAGCACCGGCUAACUCCGUGCCAGCAGCCGCGGUAAUACGGAGGGUGCGAGCGUUAAUCGGAAUUACUGGGCGUAAAGCGCGCGUAGGCGGUCUUUUAAGUCGGAUGUGAAAGCCCCGGGCUCAACCUGGGAACUGCAUCCGAUACUGGAUGACUAGAAUGCGGGAGAGGGAGGUAGAAUUCCAUGUGUAGCAGUGAAAUGCGUAGAUAUAUGGAGGAAUACCAGUGGCGAAGGCGGCCUCCUG
rnacentral:rRNA from 1 species